rnacentral:rRNA from 1 species
UACGGAGGGUGCGAGCGUUAAUCGGAAUUAUUGGGCGUAAAGAGUGCGUAGGUGGUUUAGUGUGUUAGAUGUGAAAUCCAUGGGCUUAACCUGUGAACUGCAUUUAAAACUGCUAGGCUAGAGUGUUGUAGAGGGUGGCGGAAUUUCCAGUGUAGCGGUGAAAUGCGUAGAUAUUGGAAGGAACACCAGUGGCGAAGGCGGCCACCUGGACAAACACUGACACUGAGGUACGAAAGCGUGGGAGC